UUGAUCCUCCAACAUGUGUUCAGCAUAUCAGUCCCUGCAGAGACAAAGAGGAGGAUAAAGACAUCAUGAUCAGGAACCUCAGCAGAAUCAUUCUACUGCUGCUUUACUUCUCGGAUGUGUCUCUGAGCAAAGAUGUGCAUCAGGAUCCACCAUCAAUAUUAGGAAAUCCUCAGAGUCCUGCAACAAUGAACUGCAGCCAUUCAAUCAGUGGCUACUAUGUGAUUUUGUGGUACCAGAAGCGGAUUGGUGACUCUGCUCUUAAAUUAAUAGGUUAUGUUUACUAUACCAGUGUAACUCUUGAGAAUGAAUUCAAAGAUAAUUUCAGAGUGAGUGGAGACGGCUCAAAGGAAUCUGAGCUUCAGGUACAGAAACUCCAGCCAGAAGACAGCAGCAGUUACUACUGUGCAGCUAGUAUGCACAGUGACUCAGUUAAAGUCUCCCCACUACAAAAACCCUCUCUGGUAAUCCAGCACAUAAGCCCACCCUGAGAAGGAGCACAGCUGCAAAACAACAGCAGUGAAUC